UUUGAGCACUAUUGCGUUGUCUACGAUUUAUAUGUUGGUUCUAGGUUUCAAGAAACGAGGAUCGUACACUGAAGGUAGCAUGCUUGGUGCUUGGAACAGGAGCCUUUCUGGAUCUAAGUCGCCGACGCCACCGUCUGCCGUAAACGGUACAAAGUACAAUGGCACAGGGCAUAUGAUGCUGUAUAUUUCAAAGAAAAAUUCCAUGUUCACGCCAUUUGCGACAAUCCUUUGUCAAAGUCUGGGUAAAUCUAGAUUCUAAACACAGGAUUGUCACGGUGUAAACAAGCACUACAACAUCGCAUACCGGUUAAGGUUGGACUUUUCGACAGCAAGUAUGGAGAUUCGAAAAACGCACAAAGAGAUUCAGACACUCAAAGCUACAUUCGAUUGGGCCACUUCGAUAUAGAAGC